rnacentral:rRNA from 1 species
UACGGAGGAUGCAAGCGUUAUCCGGAUUUAUUGGGCGUAAAGAGCUCGUAGGCGGUGUGUCGCGUCGGCCGUGAAAACCUGCAGCUUAACUGUGGGCGUGCGGUCGAUACGGGCAUCACUGGAGUUCGGCAGGGGAGACUGGAAUUCCUGGUGUAGCGGUGAAAUGCGCAGAUAUCAGGAGGAACACCGGUGGCGAAGGCGGGUCUCUGGGCCGAUACUGACGCUGAGGAGCGAAAGCGUGGGGAGCAAACAGG